AAUUAUAAUAACAAAAUUUUAAUUCUAAUAAAAUACUAAAUAAACUCUAAUUAAAUCUUAAUAAUAUUAAAAAAACUUUAAUCGAAUUCAAAAGAAACCUUAAAGAAAUUACAAAAGAAACAAUAAAAAAAUCUGAAAAGGAUUGAAAGAUAAUCAACAUUAAAUCUUAAAAGAAUCCUUAAGAAGUCCUAAAAAAUAUUAAAAUAAUGAAAAUAUUUCUUAAAUAAAUAUCAACCAACUAAUUUAAUCCUAAUUAAAAUCCUAAUGGACUUCAAUCAAAUCCUAGACAAAUCCUAAACUCUAAACCAAAUUUUAAACAAACUUUAAACUCUAAAUCAAAUCCUAGAUAAAUCCUAAAUCUUAAAUCUAAUCCUAAUCAAAUCCUAAACCUUAAACCAAAUUCUAUACAAAUCCCAAAUCCUAAACCAAAUCCUAACCAAAUCCUAGCCAAACUUUAAACUCUAAACCAAAUCCUAAAAAAAUUUUAAACCAAAUCUUAGACAAAUUUUAAAUCCUAAACCAAACCAUAAUCAAAUCUUAAAUCUUUAAUCAAAUCCUAAAUUCUAAAUCAAAUCCUAACCAAAUCCUAAAUCCUAAAUCAAAUCCUAAAGUAGUUUAGAACCUCAAUGUCUUUUGAUUAAAUUAUUGAUCUUCUUUAAAAUUUUAUACAAUUCUCAAUCUCUUAGUUACAAAUAAGUAUAACAAAUUUGAAGAUAAUUUCAUUUAUCAAAUGAAAGAAAAAUCCUAAAAUCUCCUUGGAUGUUGGCUGGCCUCCUUCUCCAACCUUGAUGCUAAUCUUCCAAUGCUAACAUCUUCUUUUUGCACCAUUCAAUUGAUUUCAAAAUUCUCAUAUAUGUAGAAAAAUAAGUCUACUACUUAUAUGCACAACUUUCACUCCAAUCCAAUAAUAGAUUAUAAGAAAUCUUAGAAAUCAUUAUUAGACCUAAAAUUCUACUUUCAGAGACCUUAAUCUACUUAAACCUCAAAAAUCCUCAAUUCAACCAUUAGAUCAAGCUAAAAUUCACAACACAUAUUAAGCACAAUUUUAAAGAUUAAUCCAGAAAAUUUCACUUGUAGAAAACUUGUCUUGCAAGUUAAAAUACAUGUCUUGCAAAGUCAACAAAUUUUAGAGAUCCUAUAUGAUAUCACCACAUAGCUUCUAGUGAAGAGUAUAUAUGGAGGUAAGAAUGAAGCCUUCUUCACUCUUGUCAACACCUUUCUAGUCCUUAGUCUUAUUUCAAGACUUUUUAGUCUCCUUGUCUUUGGCAAUAGCCAUCCUAAUUUAAUACUAUAUUAUCUUUAAGUGAUUUUUUAUUCUUUUCGAGUAUCACAAGAGUGUAUUGAUAUUUUAAUUCUUUGAGGUUCAUACCCUUGAUACUAAGAGACUCUUUUAUUUUACUUACAAUAUCCUAAAGUUUCUAAAAAGUCAAUAAAAGUACUAUUUUUACCUUCUAAUGGUAGAAAUUGUCUCAUCUAAAUUUCUCAAUCAUCACUGAGGCCUUAGCCUUACUUGAAGCCAUAUCUAAAGAAGACAUGUAUCAAAAAAGAUCAAGGUAAUGAAUCAUAAAGAUCUCAAAAUUAGCAAGAAAGUGUUAUAAUCUUAGAAUUCCAAAAUGACCUCUUUGUGAACAAUCUAGUAUUUUUUUUCUUUCAAAACACUCUCAACUUCACUUUUUAGAUUUUUCACAACUCUUGAAAAGAACAUAAACAUACCAAAUCAGAUUUAUCACUUCUAAAUGACUUCUUUGUUCAAAAAUCACAUCUUCUUACAAUCAAAGGCUUUUUAAACAUCCUAAGCUUCUGUAAAACCUUGAACUUCAAAGUUAGUCUAUUAAAGCCGUAACUUAUCAAGAAACCAUAAUAUAAGUGUUCUAAUUUUUUUUUUUUUUUUUUUUUUUUAUGUAUAAAACAAACAAUUUAUUCAAAAUGCACUUAAUCACAUAUAAGUGCACACCUAGAUCUAAGGAUAAAUCUUAAUCCAAAUGUUACGAGGCUCCAAGUCUUGAUAUUAUAAAUAAUUAAAUAAUUAACUCUUCACAACUUCAAAAAAAUCACAAAUUAAUAUAAGUGAGACCAUAAUGUAUUGAAAGAAAGAAAAAUUUGAAGUAUCAACAUUUGAUAUAAAUAAGGUUGCAUACAAAGAAAACUAAAGAGUAAAAUAAUUCUCACUUCUAACAUUUGUUACUUAUAAUAAGAAGAUUACAUCUCAUAUAAAUAAUCAUCAUCUAUAAUCAUUUCUAUUAUAUUUUGCCUCAUCUAACUAAUUCCUAGAUUCCUCUUAGUGUAGUUGCCACCUUAAUCACUUGCCCUAAGUCUUUAUUGUUUUUUGACCAUUAAGAGCUUAUUAAAGUUAAACUCUAAAUAGUGGCAAUUAAUCAUAGGUUUGAUAAUUUUUAGCAAUUCUAACAUCAUUAAGUUUUAGAGCCUUCUUUUCAAUUAUUUCAUCAAAAAAAAUAUAAGUUUAAUUUAAGUUGAUAAGAUAUGGAUAGUUUUGCAUUCAUCUUCUUAGUAACUUUUCUUGAGAUGUUAUUUAAUAAGACACUAGAUGCUUCCAUUGAUUUUGAAGAUGUUUGUUUUUUUUAACACAAUUGAGAAUAAAAAUCAAAACAGAUGUCAUGAAGUUUUUGGCAGCUUUUUUGAAUUACACCUUAAAGAUUUUUUAGUACUAUGAUAAUAAGUUUUUGAUAUUGAUUCUUGACUAUUUAAAAAAAUAAUCUUUAACAUUGCUUACUUACACAUGUUUCUAUCUAAUCUAAGAAUGGAUUUGUUGCCUUUUUUGUUGCUUUUCUUAUUGAUACUCAUAAAACUAAUUAGGUUUAAAUAUUUUUAAGGCAUUUGUGUGUAUUAAAGUCUUAAUGAUUAGUAUAAAGAAUAGAAUAAACAUGUUGUAAUUACCCUUAAAACUCAACGUGGUAUUUUAGUCUUAAAAAUGCUUGUUCUUCAUAAAAAAAAAUAAAAAUAAAAUAUUUAUAGAAUUGUGUAAAGAUCCUCAUUCUAUAGAUAAAGCAACAUCUAAAUCUAAGUUGAGUCUAUAUUUCCUUAAUAACUCCUAAGUCCUUCAAUGUGUUAAGGUAAAAAAAUAUUUAUGUUGAAAUUGGAUGCUCUAAGUUUGGAUUUUUAAAGUUAAAUAGUAAACUUAAUUGGAAGAUGAUUUGAUAAUGCAUUGUCUUGUCUUAUCUAAUAUUUUUGGAUUUGGUUUCUUUGUAAUAAAUUAGUACUAAUGCAAAAUGUAUCUAAUUUAAGAAGGAUAUGAAUUCUUUCAUGUUUUUUUUUCUAAAGGUAGUUUAGGAGAUUUCCAUGUUUAAAAGCAUCAGCAAAAAUAAGACAAGAUUUAAAUAAUUUUAAAUUGUUCUUGUUAGCUUAGAAGAUAAGUAUUUUGCAAAAAAAAAAAGAUUUAUAAUAUGCAUAAUUAAUUAUGUUUUAAUCUUUACCAAAAAUAUAAGGAAUAAUAGAAGGUAUAAAUUUUACUAAAUUAAGCCAUAUUUUGGUUCUUUUUAAAUAUUUUAUUAGAAGCAUAAAUAUAAAUAAUACUAAUAGAAUUGCUAAAAUUAUUUAUAUUCAUUUCUAUAUUAAAAUUAUAAAUUUUAAUAAAUAAAUAAGUAUAAUUUUCCUUAAGAAAUAUCACAACAAAAAUCUUCUAUGCAUACAAAUUUUAUUCAAAGUAUUUACAAUCUCAAAUUUAAUUUCAUAAAUAUCUUUUUUUUGUAUAUAUAAAAAAAUAAAGAGGAUAUUUUAAUUUAAUCUAUUGUAUUUUAUCUUAUUUAUUUAUUUUUCUUCUUUUAUGGUCUUCAUGUAAAAAUUAUAUAUUUUUGAUAAUUUUUUCCUCUCAAUUUACGAAUAAUUAUUAAUAAAAAUAAUAAUAAUGUAGAGAUUCUACAAACAAAUCUCCAAGUCAUGUUGCAUGGAUAAACACAAUCUAAUCGAUUAUCACUUGUAAUAGGUCCAAUUUGGAUGGAACAUUUUAUUAAAUGCGUACUCUUCUUAAGAAUAAGAGUAAUAUAUAAGUAGUAGGCAUUAGACAAAACCCAUCUUAUAAAUUUUUAAUACUUAAUAAAGUGAGUAUUAUUCUAAAGAGACUCUUAAAUAUAAUUUAAAUUGAUCUCUAAAUGGAACACAUUCUUAAUUUACAUAUUGACAGCACUCCUAGCUACUUUAGGUUUUACUACUAUUUAGUUUAACAAUCUUCAUAAUUUUUUUUUGAUAACUUACACCUUUCUGAACUGCAAUUUUUCUUCAACUACCUUUUUGUAAACAAAUCUAAUCAAACUUCGAUUAAAUUUUUUUAAAACCUACCCAACUUCUUUAUUUGGUUGAAUAUUGAUUUCACAUUUUUUUUCUAACCAACACCCACUUCGAAUGUCCAAUUUGAAGAUUGAUUAUCGGUGGUUGAAACGAAAAAAAAUGAGAAAAACAAAAGAAUAUAAGGUUUGGAAAUCUAAGAUAACGACUGCCCUAAAUUAAAGAUCGAAAAGAGAACGUAACCCUAAAGGACGGUGGAAAAUAUUACUAACAUCGUUUCCGAGAUGCAGGCUGAACACCCGCGGCGAUGCGUAUCAUUUGAAGCAAGCAUUGCGGUAGCAAUUCGAUUCAAGACCCACCAAAUUCAAACGCCGUUUCGACAUACCCACUUCUCGGAUCUGCAUUCGUCACAGAUCAUGGCGAUGUCUAUAACUUAUGAUCGAGUCGAGCUGGUCAUUGGUGGCAAUGCAAAGAAGUGCAAUGCCACUGCUGCUUCAUUCGGAGGACUGAUCUGUUUCAAACAAACCCACUGUCGAUGCACCACAUUCGGUCUCCAAUGUCGGCAACUCUUUUGUGAUCAACUAGAGGCAUGUGCUUCGAUGAGCGAAGAGCAAUUAGCAACAAGAAAAGCUGCCCCACAUUGUCACUUACCUUGGCCAUCUCCAGACAGCGAUCCAAACCAUCCAGGGAGACGUUGUGCCUCAGAAGGAAGGUCGGAUUAGCAUGUGGGUACAUUCAUUGCAAUCAAUACAAGCGGGUGGGGAGUAUCAGAUGCGAUUUUCGACAACUUACCGAUCCUCGUACACAAGGUGCGCCUUCGUGACAGGGGGUGUACAUGCUCUGACAGAGGGAGAUGCAGCAGCAACACAAUAGUCGCAACAGUUUAAAAGGAAACCCUAAACGCGCUGAAACUAAUCCCAAACUGAUAAUUCAUGAGUUGGGUAGGAAAAUCUUGCAUCGCAGUCACGGCAGCGGAGAACUACGAACCUGAAUGGCUGAGCUAGUUGGUCUUACUCCGAAAGCUACUUCGAUGACACUUACUAAGAAAGCUCAAUGGUUUUUGAAACGUUCACUGCUUCUAGAGACGCUUCUGACCACUCUAACGUGCCACACAUACACUUGUAGAAUUGUUAUGCUGAAAGCCGAAACCGUGUGCAAUGUGUCAUGAGAAACCUAGAAUGGGGGUUUAAGCUGUGUUCACAGACCAGGUGGAGUUGAUGCUUGGCAGUCGAAUGAGUGAUACAAGUGUCACCAUUAGAGUUGAUUGGGGUAACUCGACCUAUUUCUGUCUUCCGCGUGUUAGGGAGUAAUUGGGUAUGUCGGAAUCCUACAACCCUCGGAAAUGAAUAGGCCUCUAAAAAACUGACGACGUCAACGGCCAACGUCUCAAAAUCUCUGCCUUUUUGUUUUGCUUCAUUCUCGGGUUGACUCACACUGGUUGGUUGACUUGGAAAGUACCUCCCGAAAUUCUGCUGGGAUCUUUGUGAGUAUGAACCCGGCUGCAUGUCAUCGCUUGCGGAGUAGAGCGAAUCGAAAGCCAAUGUGGGUCACAUGUUCGCACUCGUCUGGCAUGACAACCCAAUGCUGUGAAGACUUUGAGAUGUUAUCUUGGGGCCCCACUGCAAUGGGUGACUUAGCUUUUCAUUCCAUUCGCUCACGUCUACAUGAGUGCUUGUUUAGGUUUGGAAGGUCUUCGGUAGGCGAGAGCUUGUGAGGUGAUUUUCUUUUUGUAUGUCUUGCUGUGUCUUUUAAUGCUGUUGUGCCGCGAGAGUUGUGUCUAAUCUGUAGCUUCUGAAGAGAGUAUAGUGGAAAGUCGCACGUUUACAACAAGAAAUUUAACUAGAACUAUUGCUAUUUUCUUUUUCUUUUUCUUUAAUUUUUUUUUUCAGAUUUCAAACAGGAUCAUGAGCUGUAAGCUGCCAAGUAGAGUUGUUGAAGACGUAGACCCUUGAUUUUGUAAGGGUUGGUGCACAAAAGUUUGCUUGUAGGAAUUUUUUCAAGAUUAGUGCUGGGAGAGAUGUAGCACAAUUCUCGUUUUUGUUUUGCCUGCAAGAUUGAGGCUUGGAGACGUAGGGUUUAUCUCGCUUUUGUGGCGAAACCGGGAGUUCUGACAUGGAGGAGGGCGGAGAUGGGGCAGAAGAGGCAGCGCCCUCGAAUUUUACAACUCGACCUGCACCACAAAAGACCCAAGUUGGUACGUUCAACUUAUCUUUGUGUUCCUGGCACCCCGAUUUGAACGCUGUUGAGAACUUCAAUUUACAGUGCAGUGCUCCAAAAACACAGUAAACCAUUACUCGAUCUGGGUACACCCAAUGAAUGAGGCGUUCGUACGCUCUCCGUGAGGCAAGAAUCAGGGUUUAAAAGAAUUGUACAUCUUUGAAGUUAUUAGUGGAGUAUUUCUGGAACGGGUACCCUCAUCCUUGUCUUGAAUUUCCACAAUAAUAUCAAGCUGGAUAUUGAAAACAUACAAUUUCUAGGAGAAGAGUUUCAUAAAUUGCAAGGUUUUCCCUCUUCGUAUUCAUUACUAGCAGAGAAUGUUUGGGUUCGGCUUAAUUCUAGGAGGUCUGUUAUAUGAAGUUAUCAGCGAAUAGUUGAAGUGUUUCUAUAUAGGUUUUGUAAUCACCAAGGUGCUCAUUAAUGCACUGCAGUAUGACCAGUUUGUGAUUACUUAGAGGCAUAGGCUUUAGAAAAUUAAUAGCAGCAAGAGUGCAAUGUCCGCUCUCACUUGAGUUUCCUCAUGAUUGUAUUACUCUCAGUCUCUCGGAGAUGGUCUCAUGCAGGGUCGGCAAACGUGAAACUCCCUGAUCAGAUGAGAAGAGAGAGUGCAACCAUUCCAAAGCGUCUAUACCAUGCGGUAUCCAUUGAUGAAAACCAGAAGAUGAAGGACUUGAACAACUACCCCAAGAAAAAUCUUGAUUACAAAGACGAUGCCGGAAUCGCUCGCAUGUCAAGCGCUACCAUGGUGGGCAUCCGGUCCUUCUUGGACACGUUUCCGUCCAGGCCCAUGGAAGCCGAUGCUGGAGCCAAUAUACAGCAAGGGCCAAUUGGAGGUGUCAAAUCAGGGCUACAAGGCUGGGAUAGUGACCUCUUAGAUCUUCCUAUUGGGGAGGGUGGUCCACCCACGAAACGAAAGUUGUGUAUAUUGAGUAUGGAUGGUGGUGGCAUACGGGGGCUUAUUGCAGCACGUACAUUGACUCGUUUAGAGAACCUUAUACAGGUGUUCAUUCAUUUUCAUCCAUUAAGUCGUCAAAUUUUUGCUCUUUCUGAACUACGAGCCUUCAAAAUUGUGUGGUUCUGAGCUGUGAUGUAUCUCUGUGGACAGGAAAAGCUAGGGUGCGAAGAAGUGCAUUUGAGUGACUAUUUUGAUUUGUUUACUGGCACUAGCACCGGGGCCAUUUUGGCCACUAUGCUGGUGGUACCGGAUGAGAAGGGCCACCCUCAAUUUUCAGCGAAAGGAUGUUGUGAAUUUUACUCCAAAAAUGGUGAAUACAUUUUCCGCCCACGGUGGUACGACCCCUUUCACGGCUCGGUGCGGCAGUUCUAUAGACCCAAAUACUCGCCCAGAAGAUUUGAGGAUCUGCUGAAGCAGCACACCAUCAUGAAAAACGGAAAGGUGCUCACCUUGGUGGAUGCUUUAAAACCACUUCUGAUUACCUCCUUCGACAUUUCAAGAGCCACUCCAUUUUUCUUUGUUCGCCAGGCUGCAGCGAAUGAUCCGAGCCGUAACUUCACGUGAGGCUUCUUUAGCUUGAUCAGCUUGCCGUUUGCAAUACACUUCCAAUCCCGUAUUGGCAUACUUUACUGUAAGAUAUCCUCAUUAUUGACAGAACACAUUUCGAACAAUUAUACUCUCUACAAUUCGUUCCUUUUCACUCUAACCAUUUUUGUGGGAUUUCAGUUUAUGGGAAACUUGUCGUGCAACGGCUGCAGCACCCACGUACUUCCCGCCUGCAUUUGUGACUUCUGUUGAUGGCAAGUUUUCGGGUACUAUGAUUGAUGGAGGCGCUAUUCAAAAUAAUCCGGUACAAGCCCUAAUGCUCCUUUAUUCUUAGCAACUGCCAAUGUUGAAACAAACCAUGUGAUAUAGAACAAUCACAGAUAAUAGGGUUCAUCUGUCCAUGUCAAGUGUUUCUUUUGUUAUGACAGGCAUUGGUUGCGACAACCCAUGGAUUGGCUAACAACGAAGAUUUUCCAUAUGCAACGAGCCUCAACGAUGUCUUGGUGCACACACUUUCCUGAUCAUCUUCCAAAUCUCUACUGUGUUCAAUAUUCAUGUGAAUUUAGUUUUGCUCAGUACUUACCGUAAGUUCCUUGAAGUAUUACUCUCAAUACACACAAGGUUAAGGUUUGUAAUGCUAAUGUUAAUAUAUGGAUACUCUUGUUGGAUUGGCAGAUAUUGUCUUUGGGGGCUGGACAAGCAGACAACAAGCACAACCUGGAAAAGGCGAAGAAGUGGGGAAUGUCAGGCUGGUUGCGGCCUCUUAUGAGUAUUAUGAUGGACGGCACCUCUGGUGAGCAUUGUCGCAUAGCCACCCAAAUUAUUCAUAUCAAUUCAUCAUCAAGCAUACCCUAGGAGAGAAUGUCCUUUUCCCUAAGCGAUGCAUUUGAGAUCACUGAGAGAAAGCCUUGCAGAGAUUCUGAUAUUAGAAAUGUUGCAUACUGAUCAAGGAUCUCACAUCAUCAUUUUUAUUCAGAUACUGUGGACUAUCAACUAUCUGCCGCUUUUGCUGGGCAUAACUGUGCUGAAAACUAUCUGCGGAUACAGGUGAAACUCCUUGCCGUGUCCUUCGUGAUGCCACAUGAGUAAUUUUGCAUUUUACUACUUCAUUUAAUCUCUCCUAGUGCUAUAACAUGUCAUAGUUCUUUAUUGUACGGCGAGAUAUUCUAAGUUCGGUGUUCCUGGAGUUUCUUUUGUUGAAUAGUUCAUUGAUACAAAGUGGUGUGAAACAGCUUUCUGGACUUCCAAAUAAGACCGCACUUAUGGACUGCUGCACACCCCAGAACAUAUCAGAUUUGAUAAAGUGCACUGAUGAGCUGCUACAGAAGAAAGCGGUCAUGCGGAACGAAAACGGGGACAGAAUCACAUUGGAACAAACGUUUGAUGAACGGCUUUCCUGGUUUGCAGAUCAACUGAUAAUUCAAAAGAAGCUGCGGGAGGAGCCUCCCAAGGACCCCUCCUUCUCUGACCACUCGCUGCCGCCUUACAAGCAGGACGUGAUGGGUCCCCAAGGCCAAAUGGUCUCCCCUUUCUUCGCCCAUAUGUUCGAGCAUCACAAGGACUUCGGUGGGUCGAAGAAGGCAAGGUCUUUCAGAUUCUAGCCCAUCUUUCAGAUCCAUGUGUUGAUGAUUUUCAUGCCUAUUUACAUGAUACUCCGAAGUCAAAUCUCAUCCUUUCAUUUCAUUGGCGCAGCUCUCGUCGAUGUAAAUAAUUCGACUCUCUUGUCCCGAUCAAAGCUGCUGUUCAUUGCAUAGAGGUGGUUUUGUAGAAUGACAGAUUAGUCAAUUGGGUCUACUCAUCUAUUUGAAUUUACAGGCUCAUGUCUCCGCUAAAUAUAAAAAAAUUUUGUAUACUAUCUAGAACAAUGACAUUUCACUGUAACCUUGGUGGAGAUUGACUUCGGGAGUCUAACAAAGUCUUCUUGAGCGUGCACCCCAUAUACGAACGCUCUUCGUUGCUCAGUCUCGUGCACGAGAUAGAACUGAAUGUGGAGCUCUAUCAUCCUGUAGACUAAUCUGCACACAGCACGAAUGUGGACGAUUCUCAAACUAACUACUUUCAACUUCACCUUUCUCUGCUAUUUCCACCAUAAAAUUCUUGAUUUGCCGUCUUUCUUCCGAACAGCUUGUAUUGGCUUGACUUUCACUGUAGCAACGAAUUUCAUUUUCCUUUUGUCAACAAUGGGUAUUGUAUCUCGUGUUGAGACUUCAACUAGUCAAUUGUCUAAAAGUGUUUCCAUCUCUGGAGCUGAGCCCCAAAGUCAAUGAUUGCUCCCUGAGCAAGCUGUUGAAUGACAAAAUGGGCCGGAGUUGUAAUACGUUAAUGUCAAAAAAUUCUAAGAUGGGUCGAAUUAUUGUCACACAAAAGCAGGAGUUCCACCCUUUUGUCGCCAUUUAAUUAACUCGCACAAUCGUCUCUUGGAUUAAUGCUCCGCUCAUUCCUUGUUUUCUGCAUUCUGAAUAUCUUCGUCGUGCAUGGAGGGAUCACACAAUCUCGAACUGAAAACUCCACCAAUAAUUAAUUGCAGUACAAUUCAGCAAUAGUUUUGUACAUUUUUACAUAUAGUUUCAAUUUUGCUGAAAAAGAGCCUCCCAAGGAUGUGUAAAUGGUAACCACCUAACUAGCUAAUAUGCGCAUUAUAUAACGUUUUUGCAACUUUUAAUUUUGUUGUUCGGCAAGGUUUACCAUAGAUUUGUUUCAAAUUUUGUUUGUAAUGGUUUAAAUGGUUAUCACUUGAAGAGUUAUUCCAAAAUAUUGAUAUAACAAGAAGAAUCAUUGGAUAUUGAAUUUAUUGUAUAUUAAAUAUAUUUGUUGCAUACUAUUAUGAGUUAACAAUAAAAUGUUCUUGUGAUUUUAUUUGUUAAAAAUAAUAAAAAUUGCAAUGGGAGAAAAAACAAGGAAGCAAAAAAAUACAAAAAAUUCAAAUAGAUUAUGUCAUUUUUGUCCAAGAAAGUAGAUUAUUAAUUGAGUUUUUUUUAUGUCUUGCUAAUCCUCUAAGAAUUUGUUACAUUGUUCAUAAUAGCAAUACAAGUUGGCAUUGCUUGAAGUUUACUCAUACGCAUAAUUAUAUAUGCUAUAAUACAAUGCAAUUGUUGAUGCUUCAUUGCUUUUUAUUUCUAGUAUAAUUGAUUGCUUAUAACUUUGUUCAGCAAUUGCGUUCGAGGGAAAAAGUCAAUGGUUAGAAAGAAUAUUUUAAAAAAAAAUUAUUUUAAGAAUAGGCAUCUUUUUUCUUUUUAUAAUUAGAAACAUUACUUAAUUGUUCUUAAAAAAAAUUGUGUAUAAAUCCAGAACAAGGUUACAAAAGUUAACUUUUACACUUACCACAUUCACUAAUGUAAUUAUAAGACAUUUAGACUUAAGUAUUCAAAGUAUAUUAACUUGUAUAUUAUGCAAAGUAUACAAGUUAAUAAAUAUUUUUAAAAAAAUAAAAAAUUUUGAAAUAAAUACAAAUAUGUGUAUAUAUGUGUAUGUAUAUAUAUAUUUUGAUGUUUUUCUUUAUAUUCAUAUCAAUAAAGAAAUAAAUAAAUACUUACAAAAGAAUUAUUUUAUAUACUUGAGUAUGUAAAUUAUUAAGAUAAGCAUAGUUUUUGGUAUUUGAUUAAAUAAUUUUUAUUAUGUGAUAGAAAAAUUAAUAUAGAUUAAAUUAAUAUUUAAUAAUUUUCUAUAUUUUCAAAUAUAGAAUAAAUAUUUACAGAUAUAUCUAUAUAUCUAUAUAUAUAUAUAUAUAUAUUUCUCUAUUAUGAAUGCAGUUUUUCAAUGUUAUAUCAAAAUUAUGAACCAUAACUUUUACUAACAUUUAUACUUCAAUAUUCAAAAGUAGAAAUAAAUAAGAAUUUGUAUGUAUUAUAAAUUGAAUUAUUUAAUACACAAGUACAUUUUUUUUUCUUAGAACUAAUUUUAAAAGUACUACAAACAAAAACUUUUACCAAGACACCAAGAUAAAUCAUAAUAAUUCUAACAAGUUACCAAAAAAGUACAGUAAACAUAAAAUAUAUGUAUAUAUUUAUUGGUAAAAUAACUUUAAGAAAAUCAAUAGUAUAAUUUUUUAUUAUUAAUGUCUACAUCUUGAUAAUCCAUGAUAUUUCUGAAGAUAAUAUCAGGCAAAAUAUUUAAUAAUUUUAAAUAAUAUUAAGAAUAAUAAUUAUUUUUUAAUUAUUUUUAAAAAGAAAAAUAUAUAUAUGCAUAAUAUUGUUUAACAUAUUUUUUAAUUUUUAAUCAAUUUUUCUUAUAUAAAUGUUAUUUGAUUUUAGAUAGUUACUAAAUAUAUUUUUCUUCAUUUAAUUACCUUUAAAAAAGAAAAAAAAUUAUAUAUGUAUAUAUAUAUAUAUAUAUAUAUAUAUAUAUAUAUAAUGGUGAUCAAACCAACAAUAUUGAUGUUAAAGCCAUAUUUUUAAGAACAACGUGAAAAUUUAACUUAAAUUAGUAAUAUAUAAGUGCCUUUAAAAUAAUACUUAUAACAAACACAAUACCAAUAAUACUGUAGAAGGUUUUGAAAUUUUAUAUCUAAAGAUUCUUUUAAAAUAUAUAUAUAUAUAUAUAUAUAUAUAUACGUAUUCAUAUUUUGGUAUUUAGAUUCCUCAAAUUAGUACUUUUUUAGUUUUUUAAAUCAAUAGGUAAGAAUAUAUAAUAUUCAAUAAAAUAAAAUUAAAAUUAAAUUAAAAUAUGAAUAUUCGUUGCUAUUAGCUUACAUUAAUAUUAAUAAUCAUUUUUUAAAAUAAAUAUUUUUUCUAUUUAUAUGUUUUACAAACAUUUUAAGUUACAUAUGAUUGAUAUUAUUUAAUUAGAAAUAGUAUUAAUAUGAAGCAUACAUAGACAUAUUUAAAUACCUAUUGUUAUUAUUUAACAAAUGAACAUAUAUAUAUAUAUAUAUAUAUAUAUACACAUACACACACACAAAGAUAUAUUAUCAUCGAAUCUUAUAUCUUUUAUUUAAUUUAAAUAUGCUUCGGAUUUUAUGUUUAAAAAUUAUUAAUAAUUUUAUAUUAUUUUUCUUUGAGUUUUUUCACUAUAAUUAUAGUUAAAUAUAUGAAGUAGAAUAAAAAUAAUUUUAAAGAAAAGUGAUUUUAACAAAAAAGUUAACUUAGAAAUCAUAUGUAGACAUGCUUAUCUUUAAUCUUAAAAAAUAAUAAUAAUAAUAAAAAAAUAUAAAAUUUGAUUUAAGUUUGAAAAUUUUAAAUAAUUUACAUGCACCACCUUUCAUUUCAUUGAAUAACUCAAAUUUCAAAAAUACAUAUUUUUUCAAAAAAUGAAUAUAUAUAAAUAUUUAUAUAUAUAUAUAUAUAUAUACACACACACACACAAAAUUGAUACAUUGACUGGGGUUUUUAUUAAAUUGACCAAAUUUUAAUCACACUAUCUUAUUGUAUACUAUAUAAUAAAAUACUUUGCACACAUAUCAAUUUAAUGAUAUUGUGCUAAUUUGAUAUGUAUAUACGUAAUCUGGGUAAUGUGGGCACAUGUCAAUUUAAGAAAAAGAUUAUGUGUUAAAAUUAUGUGGUACACAAAAUGAUACUGUGACCAAAACCCAGUUAACAUAUCAAUUCCCACAUUUCUAUGUGUAUCUAUAUAUAUAUAUAUAUAUAUAUAUAUAAAUAGUUUUUAUCAAUGAUGCCUCUCUGCACAAACCCACAAUUGCAUCACCAACAAUCUCGUACUCACUCUCCAGUCUUCAAUUCCCAGGCAUGAAGACCCCCCCCCCUCCCCCAGCCCAAGUGGAUUCUCACAUCUGCAAAUGCUGCCAAGACAGAGACUGGGAAGCUGAUGGGUCUUAUGAAGACCCAUAGUGGAGACAUGUCAAGUCUCAGUUAAAACCCACUAGGGAAUACAACCUGGCAGGCAGAGACUCUCUCUCUCUCUCUCUCAUUCAGACCAAGACCAGGAGAAGAAGAAUCCUGGUGGGGCCUCCUCAUUUAAGACUGGAUAGUGCAAAAUAACUGGCUGGGCUGGACUGGGUCUCAUUCAUUAAGACCCAGACUUGGUGGAAUCUAUUGUAUGGGUCUCCAAGGCUGCAAGGGAGUAAUUAAUCAAUAGCAACCGCAUACAUACAUACAUACAUAUAUACAUAUAUAUAUACUACUCUGGACGGGAACAGGUCCUUGUCUCUCUCUCUGGGCCAGCGGUCAUGAGACCCAACAGAACUCAAGCGAAUUGUGAAGCUUUUAGUAAUAAUAUCAUCUACAUUGGACACACUCAUAUAUAUAUAUAUAUAUACAUGUAUUUAUAAAUAAAGGGGAAUAAUAAAUAGACCCAAGUUUUUACAAAAUUGUUCUACCCAUCAUGAAAAAAACAAAUGUCCAGAUUCAUUUCUCCAUGCAUGUUUGUAUUGUGUUUUGAUUUUAAAUAAUACAACAUUUUUUAAAAAUAAAUUCACUCUUGUCUCAUUGAAGAAGAGAGAAAGUAGGAGAAAAGACAUAGAUUUAAGAUAGAAGAGAAUCAAAACAGAUAUUACUAAAUACAAUUAUGUUAAAGAGUCUUCAACAAAGACCAAAUAUAAAGAAAAACAUUGACAAGAUUGAAGAUGGUAUCACUCUAGUCUCUGUAUAUUAAGUACCAAGCAGCCCUUGUAGAAGCUUCCUAAGAACCAAAGACUUGUGGUCUAAAUGUCAAGUCAUAUAAUACUUGCAGCAUAGCUUCUUGAAAGUAAGAAACUUAUGUAACAAAUUUGAAUAAUCAUGUGGCUUACUUUUAGAAAUUUAAAGAUCUAAUAUGCUUGGAGAAAAAAUCUUUAUAAUUUUGUAGGGAAUAGUAUAUCCACCUAACAUAAUCUACCUAUGUCUACUUACUUUUAUUUACUGAAGUAAUGUGGACAUUUGUUACUUCAAGAAAUUUUUUAAUUUUAAUGAAAUCUAGAAUAAGUAUUGUCUUAUCUAGAAUAAAAAAAUGUUAAGUUUUUGGUCUUGUUAAAUCUACAUUGUCCUUUCUAAAUGUUGUCAAAAUAAUAAAUAUAUUUUUGAUAAAUAGGAUGUAUAAAUAUAAAUUAAUCAUUUUCAGUAAAAAGUACCAAAUUUACUCUAUUAAGCUAUUUGUAACUUGAUGAGAUUUAGUUUCUAAAAUGUAAUUGUAUUUAUGAAGCAUCUUCUAGAAGAACCUUAAUUAGUUAAACUUCUUUAAGUAUAAAUCUUCUAAAUAAUUAUUUAGCUUACAUCAAUAGAAUAGAUGAUUUCAAUAAUUUAUUAAUUUAGAUAUGUUGAUUUGAAUAUUUAGGUAUUUUCUUAUUUAUAUUAAGAUUUAAUUCUGCUCUAAAUACGUAAUUUUUUAUAAAAUCAAAUAUAUAUAUAUAUAUAUAUAUACAAAUAAUAUAUUCAAUUUCUAUGUAUUAUGAAAAAUAUUAUUCGAUCUAUAUAAAAUAAAAAAGAAUUUCUUGGCUGCAUAAUUUGAAGGUUUUAUAAUGAAAGUUUCUUCCACACGAUUUUUGUUGUCAUGUAUAUAUAUAUAUAUAUAUAUAUGGAUAAUAAGUAGUUUGGAAUUAAGUAUUUUAUAAUAUCAUGUAAAAUUUUAUUAUGUAGGAAGGCAUAUUGAACAAGUUUUGUAUUAUUCUAUUUCUAUUAUGUUUAUUUUGUACAUUGACAUCCAUUAGAAACCAUAAAGUCCAGUUGCUUAGAAACCAAUAAAAUGUUUUCUUGGUAGCAACUUACUUGAUAUAAUACUACUGUGCAGUAUCCUAUUAAUAUUGUGUGCUAGAAUACUAUUCCUUUAAAAUUUUAAAAUUAAUCAUUCUUUAAACCAAAACAUGAUAGAAUGUUAUUUUACACAAUAUUAUUAAUUAAGUUCAUAAAAAGAAAUGCAUUAUUUAUACUACAAAAAAAUUAUGCUUUAAUUUCUUUAAUAUUUACCUAAGUCAUUAUUUCAGUAAUUAUAUAAUAGAUAUAAAAUUAAUCUAGAAAAAAAUAUGUAUCUCCUAUUUUUUUUUGAUAUUUUUUUUUAAGAUACUAACUCUUUUAAAUUUUUUUUAUUUAAUAAAUUAUGCCCUUGAAAUUUAUGAUAUAAGGUAGUUGGAUACUUUAAUUAAAAGAAUCCUGGAAUUUAAAUCUAAUAACAAAUAUUUGAAAAUAAAAUUGAGUAAAAAUCUUCUAAUCUAUUUUUCAUUAUUAAUUUUUUGUUGAUAAUAAACUGAAAUUUCUAAAAUAAUAAAAAUAAAUAUUGCAUCAUCCUAAAAAAGGAUAAGUCUAUUUUUAUAGGCAUUUCUAAGGUAGAUAUUCAAAGUACACAUAUAAGAUUUUAGAAAACCCCAAUUGAUACAAAAAAAGAUUAUUAAUAGCAUCAACAAUAAUAAGAACUUUAUUAAUAUUAUCUUUUGAAAGCACAUAAUAAUAUUAUAAAAUUAUGAAAUUUCUAAAAAUAUCCAAUAAAAAAUCAAAAAAUUCAAGGACCUUGUAGGAUAAUUUACACUUCUUAACUUAGUAGUGAUAGUAGUUACCAUCAUAAAAAUCUUGUCAUUGAAUUGAAUACCAUCCUUUAAAUACUUGAUUUUUCUAUUGAGAACUAUGAUUAUUAUGAAAUCAUAUUCUGGAGUUUAUGGCAUUCAAAAUAUUAUAUGAAAUUUUAAUUUAAAAAAAUAAAAAAUAAAAAAAUUGUAUAACCAAAAAUGAUGCAACAUUGGUUAGACACCAAUAUAAGAGAGGAUAUAUUGCCAUGUACAAGGUGAACUAUAUAUUUUCUUUGAUUGUAAUAAACAAAAAAAAUUAUCAUGAAUUACAUUAAAAUAAAAAUAGAAUAGAGUAAAAAUAUUUUAAAGAAGUGCAAUGUACUAAGAUUAUUAAUGUGAUAGAUAAUUAAUAAUUUAUUGUAAAAAAUAUAUAUAUGUAUACAAAUAAUUAAUUAAUUAAAAAAGUAAACCUUGCAUGUUUUAAGAAUAGAUUAAAACCUUGAAUUAAAUUUUAAAAAAACUCAAAAAAUUAUGUUAUGUAUGUGGUAUUUAUGAUUUUUUUAGGAAAAAAAACUCAUAAAACUUAAAAAUUAAAGAAUAAAAAUAAAUAAAGCAGAAAAAAUUACAAAUUUUAUUUUAAAUAAGUUGAUGAAAAGGCAUUUCUCUAUAUGAUAAUCAAAUGAAUAAAAUUAGAAAAUUCUUUUAGUGGUGGUAAACAGAGUAAUUCUCAACCACCAUAAUGAUUUUAUAUACUUUUGAUGGGCAGGUUUAAUUACAAAAGUAAAUAAAUAAAAAUAUAUGUUUCAAAAAUCAGAUUGAGUAUGUGUAAUCAAGUUAUUAAAAAUAUACAUUAUGAUAUAUGUUUAAUAAAUAUUCUCAAAAAAUAAUUGAUUAAUAGUUUUAAAAUUUUAAAAUAUAAAAAUUAACCUGUACAUAGUUUAAUAAAGAUUUUUUUUUGUGAUAAAUUAUUUAAGAUGUUGGUCAUGUAUCUAAUAAAAAAUAACUUAGGUAAAAAAAAUAUUGAGGUUGAAAAAUUGCGAUUUAAUUAUCUCAUAAAGAUGUGAUAAAAUAAAGUGAAGACUAAUUUUUGGCUUAUUAAACAUAAAAAAAUUAAAACAAGUUUUCAUAGCUACAAGGUGCACAUUAAAAUUAUAUACAUAUUUAAUAUUCUUAUAUUUAUUUUUGUUGAUGUUUCUUAAGAAAUAUAUUAAAUAUCUAACAUAAUUUUACCUUCUUCUAUUUGUUUCUAUUAUUUUAUGUGGUUUAGAGAUCUAUAUGUUAUCUUAAUCUCUCAUUUAGAGAUAAUUUUAAUUAGCAAUAGUAGCAUUAUAAUUUCAAAAAUUAAUUGUAAUUAGCAAUAAUAACAGGAUUUUUCUUUUAUAAAUUUUACUAAAAAUUUAAAUCUAUGCUUUGCAAAAAGAUAAUAUAUUAUAUUUCAGAUACUCAAAUAUUCUUAAAAAGAAACAUAUUUUUUACCAUAAAUAUUAAAUUUAUUGCAUAAAUAUUCCAUUAGCUAAAUCAUUUGAGUUUGAAAUGCGCAUGAUUAAAAGAGAGCAUAUUACAAAGACAUACUAUUCUUGAUUUAAAAUUUAGACCUCUUGUCAUAGAGCCUCCAAUUCAAACUUUGGUAGUAUAGACAUAGAUUUGUUCAUAGUUCAAUAAUAUAGAGUUUAGCUAAAUUUUGCUAUAAGUUUGGUUAAGAUUCAAUGAUCAUCUCUAACAAAACUUUAAAUAGUGUUAUAUUAUAUCAAUGUUAGUUUUCAAUUCAACUCAACAUUGUUGAUUUCUAUCAUUAGAAACAAGUUGACAACAAAACUUCUAUUCUAAAGAAUUUUGCAUCAAGUACAAUUGUAAGUUUGAUUACAAAAAUAAAACUUUGAUUAAAAAAAGAUAAGAGAAUACAUAGAAAAUUAGGUUUUUACAUGUGAGCUAAAUGAGACAAUUAAUUUAAGAAAAUAUUAGGUGAACACUACUUUUUUAUUAUUUAAAAACCUUCUAUUUACUAUGUCAAUACCUUCUUGUGGUACAUCAACAACAGAAUAAAGCUACAAUUUUUUUAAUAAGCUAGCUACUAAUGAAGCUAAAAAAAUGUAUUAAAAAAAAAAAAGAAAAAAAAAAAAGAACUACAACAUUAAAACAUUAGCAAUAAAAAAGCUAAUCAAAGCCAACAAAUCAAGCACAAAAAAGAAGGGUAUCUUCAAAGAAGAACCACUAUGUAGACACUCCUAUUCAUUUUUUUGCUUUAUUUAGCUUCAACUUAGCUGAUGUUCUUAUGUUGUACUUUUUCUUUCUUUCUUUCUUUCUUUUCUUUGUUUUUCUUUUUUUUUUCUUUCACUAUAAUAUUAUAUUAUCUUUUAAUCUCAUUGAUGUCUAGCUUGUUAAAAAAACUUUUGGCUUGGGUGUAUUAUUGGUACGGCAUAAAAGUAUGUCCAUGCAGUAAAAAGAGGUUGUUUAUUUAUUAGUUUUUUUGAGUUAAUAGAAUAACAAGAAUCAUGAAGAAAGAGUGAUCCAGAUAGCCUCUCAAUCUAAUCUUGAUGCAUGUCCACAUUAAAACUUUGAUUUAUACUAAAUGUUUUAGAAGUAAAUUUACGUCAAAAAAUUCUCAAAAUGAAGUCAAUAAUAUUUUAAAAUAAAAUUAAAAGUAAAUUGAUAUAGUUUUUAAUCAAAUUAUACUAUUUUUACUUUACAAACAUAAAAAUUAUGGUAAAAAAAUUAACUGAAUUCUCUAAUAUUGGGUGGUAUUCUUUAUAAAUAUUUGGAACAAAAUUAAAAUAAUGGUAUAGCAUUCAAUGAUUUGCUUGUUUCAAACAAUGUAGUGUUAUCAAAUAUAACCAAUGGAUGACUUGUAACAAUUUAAAUUUUAAAACAAUUCUGAGGAAUGAUAAAUUUUAAACAUACAUUAUGCAAAAGGUUCCACCUCUAUUGUUUUAUGAGAGGGUCGGAGCAUUACUAAUACAAUAAUCUUCUAUGCCAUUAAUAAAUAAAUAAAUAAAUAAAACUUUGUUCAUGAACACGAUAGAAUAAAAUCAUAUAUUUAUUAAUAAUAAAUACAGAUUAAUAAAAAUAGACAAUUUCUUAAGCUUUAAGAACAUUUAGUUUAUAUUCAAUUAAAAUUUUAUGAAAAGUCCUAAUUCUUUGAAAAAUAUGAGAUUUAAACCAAAAUGUAGAUUUCUAAAUCGAUGAGGGCAGAACUUUAAACUUGGGCAAUGACUUGCACUAAAGUUGUGCCAAAAAAAAGAACUCUUAGGACAACACACAUACAAUUUCCAUUAACUUCUGAUUACAUUAGUUUUGACUAAAGAAUUAAUGCUUUAAAAAAUCAACAAAGUUUGAUUCAAAUGAAUAAGUUUAUUGUCAAAAAGAAAUAGAAACUAAGUCCAUAGAAGUUUGUGCAAUAAUUUGACAACUUCCUUUGCAUGGAUGUGUUCCUUUUCUCCUUUUUUUUUUCUUUUUUUUUCCUUUAUACUCCCAUAAAUAUAUUUAAUUGAUGUAAGUUUGUAUAUUUUAGUGUUAUAAAGCAUUUUGCUCAAAAAAACAUGGGACCCCAUCCCUCUAUUUUAGAAAGGCAAAGCAUCAUGGCCAAAUCUAUUUCUCUUAUAGACAUGGAUCCACAUAAAAAGGCUACUUAUUCCCGUUCCUAGGGUCAUUACAUUACAUGUUUAUAGUUUGUUAUUAUUAUUUUUUAUGUGUGAUUUUGACCCUUGGUCAAUAUAAUAUAGAAAUGCUCAUUGUAUUGAUAAGGCACACCACGUAAUGCUCUAUCAACCAUUAAAACUCAUGUCCAAUCCAGUUUGCAUACUAUCCCAAAUGAGCCCAUUCUUUUGAGCCUACAUGGCACUUGGCAUGGCAUUUGGGGAUCAUUUAUAUGCCACAUGGACUCAAAGGCCUUGGAGGUGGUGCCACAUAAGCAAGAAUGCCAUGCGGGCACAUGAGCAUUUGAAGGAGGUGCCAUCCAUAGUGUAAUAUAAAAAAGUAAUGAGAAAUUGACCUCCAAAUAGUGGUUCAUGCUUAGACCUUGUCCAAUCCAAACAGUUUCAGAUAAGUUUUAAGUGGAAAAAACAAAAAAAACAAAAGGAAAGAAAAAAAAUAAAACGAAGAAUGAGAGAAUGAAUACACACACACACACACACACAUAUAAAUAUAUAUAUAUAGAAAGGUAUCCAUACAUGGUAGUAAUUCUUUGGCACUGAAAUAAAAUUAGGAAUAAUAAUAAUAAUAAUAAUAACAGUAUUAAUUUAGGAUGACCCAUGUACAUAGAUAGAUACAGUGAAGAAGAUUGGAAUAGGAACUUGGAAAUUUCAACAAUGAACAUUGAUACACAUCUAUGCUUGGGUGUAUUACUUAUAUUUACAGCAUAGUUGCGGAUUCUCGUUGCUUGUCUCCAAAGAUAAACUUAGAUAAUGUGUAGUUUUGUAUGUAUGUGAAUAUUACACUCAAUGGAACCCCGUAAUUUUAGUCACAGUAUCUACAAUUGAAACUAAUUAUAUCCUCGCAGUUUUUUUGAUGGUGUGAAACCUUUAUGCCGUGUCUUCAAAAACUUUUGGAAAUUCAUGAAUAAGAAUGAGAUUGCGUUUCAUGAGGUCCACAGAAUCUCAUUCCAUUAAUGAGGAAGAAAACUAUUCACCUGUCAUCAAAGGACUACCAUAUUUAGGCUGCUUGGAAUAUCCUUUUUCAUUUAUUGAACUGUCUGCACAAUAACAAUUAGUGUCCACAUGUCUAUGAAUGUAGUCCCAUGUCAGCCCAUUUGACCUAUGGAAAUGGGUAAGAAUUUAUAUAUAUAUAUAUAUAUAUACAUAUUUGUGUGUUUAUAUAUAUAUAUAUAUAUGUAUAUCUAUAUCUAUAUACUGGAUAAAUAAAUAAAUAUGUAUGAUCUUAUUUUUUGGAGUGUGCCAGUGUUUGAGAUGAUGCUUAGAAAAGCUGACUGUGAGUACUCCACCAAGUCAUCGACACAGAUCAUAUAAUAAUUGAAACCUGUUUUUUUUAAUAGUUUUUUCUUGAAAAGGAAUAAAUUUGACGUUUUCACAAUGGGCAUCAAGGCCAUAUUUGCUUGGACGUUUUGGCAUGAUGUUCAUGUGGUUAAUCAAAAUGGUGUCAGAAUAAUCCACAUCAGGGUACCAAUCAUUUGAGCCACAGUCUGUUACAUAAUGUGGAGGGAUGCAUUGUGGAAGAAAAUGUGGAGUCAUUUUAGGUCAAUUGGUAAAUUGGGAAUUUAAUGUUUUUUAAUUAGCUAGGGCUGUGAACAAAUACCACAAUAAUGUUGUGAUGUCUUGUAAAAGUCAGAGGUUUGAAUGUAUAGACCAAAGAACAUGUCAGGCAUGGGAUCUUGUGUUCUUGAGAGAGUGUAAACAUAUAUCUGAGAGGGGUUUAUACACAUAUAUAUAUAUAUAUAUAUAUAUAUGAAAUAGACUGUAACCCAUGUGCCAUGUAGACAGUAACCUAAAUCACAAACACUUCGUGUACCAGUUCAGAUUCCAUGAAAUUAAUGCACCAAACAUAUUCAAAUAUAAAACAUGUCAGAUCAGAUUUCCCCUACUAUCAAUUCGCACUUUGUACCAUGAAACAUUUAUUGAUAUGUACGUAUCAUCGAUAAAUGUUUCAUGAUCUGGAAAAUCUGUUCUAAGUGAUUCUAGUCUGCUCUAUAUCAAAGAAUCGUUUGGUACUCUAAUAAACAGAGGCUUUUUGUGUGUGUGUGUGAAUGCAGAUAUACCUACACACAUAUGUACAUGUAUGACUGUAGAAAGAUAAGCAGUGACCAUUUCUCCAGUAUGUCAUACACAAGGAAAACUAAAAAGACUAGUAUUCUAAAAGGUAAAGGAUCCCACAAGAAAAGGGAUUAUUUAAAACCUUUGGGGCGGAAUGUGACAUUUCUAGUAGCGGUUAUAGCCAGAGGCGCAGUGGCUGCUGACUCUCGUCAAGUCCACUGUCGGCUGCCAGGCUGGUGCACGAAACCAAGCUUCGACGAGUCACACAGUCGAAGAGCAUCUUGCCACGAAGGACAUAGAAAUGGGUUUAGAAGCACAAAGUCAAGGAGAAUCGGUGGAGGUAUUUCAUGGACCGGUGUCGAUCUUCUCGGCAGCUGAUGCUUCGAUGACCUGAUCCUCCACCAGCGCUGGAGGAGGAGGACGAAGGGACAUAAGUAUAAGAUGUAAUGUGUAGAAUGGACAAAGAUAGAAAGUAGCUCGACAGAGAGUCGUCGGGUGUGGGUUCGACGAGGGAUCGCAUCCUACAAGUGCACACUAAGAGCCAGCGUCGCAGGUUGACCUUGAACUCGGCAAGGGGACCCAAAAUUACCACGCUAGUGAAACUCGGCAAGGGGACCCAAAAUUACCACGCUAGUGAAACUCGGCAAGGGGACCCAAAAUUACCACGCUAGUGAAACUCGGCAAGGGGACCCAAAAUUACCACGCUAGUGAAACUCGGCAAGGGGACCCAAAAUUACCACGCUAGUGAAACUCGGCAAGGGGACCCAAAAUUACCACGCUAGUGAAACUCGGCAAGGGGACCCAAAAUUACCACGCUAGUGAAACUCGGCAAGGGGACCCAAAAUUACCACGCUAGUGAAACUCGGCAAGGGGACCCAAAAUUACCACGCUAGUGAAACUCGGCAAGGGGACCCAAAAUUACCACGCUAGUGAAACUCGGCAAGGGGACCCAAAAUUACCACGCUAGUGAAACUCGGCAAGGGGACCCAAAAUUACCACGCUAGUGAAACUCGGCAAGGGGACCCAAAAUUACCACGCUAGUGAAACUCGGCAAGGGGACCCAAAAUUACCACGCUAGUGAAACUCGGCAAGGGGACCCAAAAUUACCACGCUAGUGAAACUCGGCAAGGGGACCCAAAAUUACCACGCUAGUGAAACUCGGCAAGGGGACCCAAAAUUACCACGCUAGUGAAACUCGGCAAGGGGACCCAAAAUUACCACGCUAGUGAAACUCGGCAAGGGGACCCAAAAUUACCACGCUAGUGAAACUCGGCAAGGGGACCCAAAAUUACCACGCUAGUGAAACUCGGCAAGGGGACCCAAAAUUACCACGCUAGUGAAACUCGGCAAGGGGACCCAAAAUUACCACGCUAGUGAAACUCGGCAAGGGGACCCAAAAUUACCACGCUAGUGAAACUCGGCAAGGGGACCCAAAAUUACCACGCUAGUGAAACUCGGCAAGGGGACCCAAAAUUACCACGCCAGUGAAACUCGGCAAGGGGACCCAAAAUUUCCACGCCAGUGAAACUCGGCAAGGGGACCCAAAAUUUCCACGCCGGUCGCAGUGCAGGAAUUUCACUGGCGUGGCGUUAAUGCGGGGUCUCCCACGGCGGUGAGUUCUCCACUUUUCUGUGUAUGAACAGAAAAGGGAGAAGGAUUCUUACUGCGCGUCGUCUCGCAAACAAACGAUCAACUGUUGUUCAAGAUAAAGUGGAAAACCCAGUUGAAUAGAUCGCGGACGGGAUUGCAGGGCUGUGCGUCUGUGCUCUUGCGCUGGCCACCCACGACGAUCCACGAGAAUUGUUUACGAUUUUCCCCUGAGACUCAUCUCAACGCUCCACUGGAGGAAUCUGAUGGUCACUGCGAAGCUGUUUGGGCUUGAAUCCCUGAUUGCUGGUUGUAAGUCGAAAACGAGGCGAAAUACAACACGAAAUUACAAACCUAUUGUUUGAUGCAUCGAGAUCUAAGACUAUGACCCAGUUAAAGCAGCAGGCUACAGCUUGAUCAUUGAAAACAAAGGGUCUUGUCGGAUUGUACUAAAAUAUGCACUCAUUCCGAGCACCGCAACGACUGCAAACAACCCGCGCAGAGGGUAGGGGUGCUGGGCCCGCUCAGCCCACGUACUGGAACUGCAGGUAGGAUAGGGGCUACAGCGUAAGAGCUUUUCUACAGUGAUGCGAAUCCUGGAAUUCCUAGCCCUUCGUUUGCGCCGGCAUCACGCAACCAGCUCACUCUUAUGUCCAAAGUUGUCAGCUCGGGGCGGCUGGGGGGCGCACUCGCGUUGCUAAUACCCCAUGCUCUCCCCCUCAGACCAGCAAACAGACUCGGUACGAGUCACAGUCCUCUUUGGGAGCAGCAGCUCUGAGGCUACCUUCCCUUUUCUCUUCUUCGACUCUUUCUGUCUCAGGUACACAGCACUGGGCCUUAGAUUUUCACUGUGCAGCCAGGAGCUGCACCUCUCCUCAUGCUUGGAGUGUGGAUAGUGGUACUUAAUUUCGUUGAAGUUGUGAGUGUAGGGGUUCGUGUGGUUCAUAAAUCACGUUACAAUAAUCCUGAGUCAGGGUGGAUGAUGUUGGUGCUAAGACUUGGUAUUACCGAUGUGGUGUUCUCAGAAUUAGGCAGUUGAAGGGGCAAUUGCGCGCACACCGAUUGGUGCAGCGCACCUGGUGUUGAAUCAGCUGGGACUGGUGCCGUGGUGAGAGGGGGUUCAAUUGGUUGUGCGUUGCGGUACAGACAGUUCAGUAGUUACAGUGAGAACCUGCAAACAGGGAAGUUUUAGUUUAGACUGGCGUAAUUCAGACUGAUGAGCUAAGUCAAGCUUGGUGCUUCUUUCGGUGGCCGUGGUGGGUGUCUUCGAGACUGGAACCACGGUACCUGUCUCCGAUAAAAGCAGGUCCAAUGACCCGCUUUCAUCUGCAGGGGAUGGAAGCGACUGCCACUACCAUGGUGGUUACGGCUCUCUUGGUCUCUCUGUUCAUGGUGCAAGCAGCAGCUACUAGUGCACCUGCAACCUCGCCUGCUCCUUCACGUACGCCACUUCCUCAUCUCUCCUGUGUUUUGAAGUUUUCCAAAGAACUGGUCAUUAGCUUCGUCAAAAGUUUAGUGUUUAGGCCCUCACAGAAUCAACUAGGUCAUGGAAACCAUAUCUUGCGAGUCAAACGCUAAUUAUUAUGUAUAUAGAUUUAGUAAUUUACAAUAUGGGAAACAGUCAACAAGGAUCUUUUGUUCUUUUCUUCAAAUUCUGAUGUUAAAUUGACCUUUUGUUUUUUUAUUUCAUGUUACACAUGAAGAUGUUAGAUACCUCAGCUGAAAGACCUCGUGAUGGUGCAUAUGUUUCUAUGACAUGGGACAUGGUUACUUUGAACCCGGUUCGUCCCAAUCAGAAGCACUAAUACGAGAUUUUUGUCGUCAAGCAGACCCUUUCUUCGGAAACCGAACGACUGGAAACCAUCCUCCGGGGCACGGCGGUCAUCCUCAAGGAACUGGACGUCAUGGAUAUGCAUGGAGCAAGUGGAGAGCCUACAUCGCUCUGCAAUGCUGGAAGAAGGCUAUCACCGAAGAUCCCAACAAUAUCCUUGCGAGUUGGAAUGGGAAGGAUGUCUGCAGUUACAAAGGAGUAUAUUGUGCUCCUCCACCUGAUCCCAAGUACUCUUACCUCACGGUUGUAGCCGCAAUCGAUUUGAACGGUGCGCAACUGAAGGGUACUUUGGUGCCGCAGUUGGGCGAACUUCGAGAGAUUGCUCUGUUCCACUUGAAUAGCAAUCGAUUCUAUGGAGGAGUGCCAGAUUCAUUCCGAUACAUGAAGUUGUUGACUGAACUGGAUCUUAGCAACAACCAGUUGGGCGGGGACUUUCCGAAAGUCGUCUUGGCCAUCCCCAAGUUGGCUUUCUUGGAUCUCCGCUUUAACACGUUCUAUGGCAAGCUGCCGAGUGAGCUGUUCUCAAAGCGUACUUUACAAGUGAUCUUUGUGAACAACAACAAUUUUGAAGGUACUAUGCCGAGCAACUUCGCUCAGUCCGAAGUCGCUGCCCUUGUGCUUGCCAACAACAAGUUUCAAGGAAACAUUCCUAAGACCAUUAAUAAUAUGAGCAACACCCUGUACGAGAUUCUGGCUUUGGGCAACGAAUUCGAUGGUGGAAUUCCUGACGGUAUUGGUAAUUUGAAAAAUCUCCUGCUCUUCGACUACAGUUCCAACAAAAUCAACGGAGGGUUGCCAGAUAGCCUUCAAAAUUUGCAGGCUCUCGAAAUAUUCAACAUGAGCAAGAACUAUAUGGGCGGAGCAGUGACUGCCGAGAUCUGUCAGCUGAAAAAUUUGUCGGCUCUAGCUCUCAGCGACAACUACUUUAAUAGUCUUGCGUCUGCAUGUAAACAGAUUAAUCAAACGGUGUUGAAUGUCACUGGAAAUUGCCUUUUUGCCGAUAAAAUUCCUGAUCAGAAGGAUAAGGAUACAUGCGCAAGGUUUUACGGGUGGAGUCCACCUCCUCCUCCUCCAUCCCCCCCACCACCUUCCCCUCCUCCUCCUUCUCCCCCACCACCUUCCCCUCCUCCUCCUUCUCCCCCACCACCUUCCCCUCCUCCUCCACCUCCAUGCCCCUAUGGUUACCAACCCGGCAAGUAUUCGGGCACUUGUUUCAUGCUUGUCACGCAUUGCAAGACCUGGGAGUACGCCGAACAUUACUGCAACCAGCAAUCGGGCGGUCACUUGGCUGCCGUGGCUGACUGGGACGAGCUGAAGGAUGUUGGCGAGCUCUGCGCACAAUCAAACGUAACAGUUCAGGGUGACUCGAGCGAUCCUAAGGGACUUGGUUGCUACGUAGGUGGAAGGAGACCUUGCAAUCUCUCACCUGCGACGAAUGGAUGGAACUAUCCAGGUUCUCCUUGCAUUGAUGUCCCGUCUCUGUGGAACAUGGGAGAGCCUAACAACUACGGAGGUCAAGAGGCCUGCCUUGGAGUUAAGUACGAAUCCGAUGCCCAGGCUUAUGACAACAGCUAUCUUCCUUUCAUGCUCAACGACUUGAGAUGUGAUAUCCAGCUUCCGUUUAUCUGCACCUUGACGCGCUGUAGCGACUAUGGAUGUGGGAUGUCCAAGACUUGCAAGACUCUAGGCGACCACAACUCUACGUGUAGCUGGGACGACAGUGCUGCCGUUGGAUACAAAUGCCAGUGUAGUGAAGGUUACUUUUCGGAUGAUUCUGGUACUUGUUCCCCCAAGUAAGUUAUUUUCUUUGUCAAGUUCAGUACUGAUACCAGGUGUGUGAGGAUACCCAAGCUGCCAAAAACGCGGCAAAGGCGGAUGGAAUGGAUGAUCAGUUGCUGUAACUACUUCACUUCGACGAAUUUGGAUUAGCAGCAGUCGAUGGUGGUGUUCUAGCCAUUAGGGGUUUAACAGAUCAGGGAGGGUUGUUAUUAGUCAGGGCAAUCGAAGACUGUUCAUCGCCUGCGUCUAACACUUUCAAUUCCCACACAUACGGGGGGUUGGGACUUCGAAGUGGGUUUGAAUAAUUAGCAACAGCCAUUUAUUGAUAUCUACCAUUUAGUUGAUAUCUUGAGGUGGUGAGCUUCAAAAAGGAUAAUGGAGCCCUGCGGCUACGACUGCACCCAGUUCGAAUGAGUUGCCCCACUGCCGAACCUCUGGCUGUGAAUAGAUUCUUUUAGAGUUUUCUUUUUCUUGUGAAUGUGGUAUUAUGUUGACACCACAAACGUUUUAUCUUGUUUGUUACCAGCUUUCAAUAAGACAUCUGGGGGCAGCUGUUUAAUUUUCACUGAACCAAUCCUUCGUGACGGUUUUGUUUUUCCCUCUCUGUACGCACUGCACAUUUCUUUCAAUUAAGUGUAUUGAACUCCAAUGCUUUUUCGUAUCCAUUUCUCAUAUCGUGGUAUUUUAUUUGCAUGCAUUAGUUGUCUGUUGUUGUAGUUGUUUAGAUGUGAGCCUUGUCAUGUCAGACUGUUGUCCAUCAUCGACAAUUUUUCAAGACAAGAAGUCGCAUUUGUGGUUCUUGAACAUUUCAUUAAAGUUCAUUAUGUUCUAAAAAAUAUUUGUCUGUACAUAAGAAAGAUUGGUUACAAUCUUCUAUUCUCUUGAAUUACAGUGUAUGUACUCUUUCCACUUUUGCACACUACAGAAUUUUUAGCUGCUACAUCACAUCCACAUGGACUAUUGAAGCACGUGUAUUCUUUACGUCUUUAUCCACAAAGCCGAAGCAAGAUGUUAGUCUCAGAUACAUUAUUUAAUGGGUCUGUAGAUGAGAAACAACCCUGUUAGAAGACAACGCCAGCCACCAGCAGAGACCACGAAAACCUUGUCCCAGCAAUCACAAGCAUUUUUUAAUUUGGACCGAUUCGAAAAGCACACUGGAACACUCUGGAAGGAGUCUUUCGCUAGGUGGGCAACCCAUGGCAAGCAGUAGCGACUACAAAUCACCAGCCUGGAGAAUCUGGAAAAAGAAGGUGUAGAAACGAAAACAACAGAGAAUAAGUUAACGCAGCGCAAGGCAAGUGCACCUCAUGAAAGUCACCAGGCAUACAUGAGGUGUUGUCUUCCAGGGAAGGAAAACCCAAGAGAGUUGGAUUGUCAUUGACCCAUUACUCAUCGAUGAACUGGUUUCGCCUUCCAACCGACGAUUACACAAAGCUGGACUACCCUCAAUCUAAACGAUUCACGACGUCCACUUUCCUGGGCUUUCAUAUCCACGGCUCAGGUUCUCGACUAAUGCGAACCCCGAUCACUUCCACCCAACUGCAGGAAUCUGUUAUCAACUGGUCCAAAAAGUUGACUGCAGACUCAGGUCAGGUUCUAGGUGGAAGUCCAGCACUUCGCUUACUGGAGCUAUUCCUUGAGAAAAUGGUGCAGCUGCAGACAACCAAUGAAGCGAGUGUAAUGAAGUUCUCACGGUUGAUUCUCACAACUUUAAGCGGUUUCAAGUCUGAUCGAACCUUUGCAUAGUAUGGGAAGGAAGUGAGAUCAGCGCAACUGUUGAAAUUGCUUCUGUGAAAGCGAUCACCAGAUGCGCGUCUGACGACGCCGAGAUUAGAGAUGUAGACAUGGUUGAGUUCUGUGGCCUCGGCGCCGCAGAUCAAAUUGGAGUUUCACUGCACCUGAGGAGACCACAAAGCGAUCCGCGUCGCACGGUCUCGUCGAAAUACUGGCUUGUCGGUAUCGUGGCCACCGCGAAGCGCGUAGAUGAAUGAUAAUAUUUCAGUUGCUGCGAAUUUGGAUGAAUAUCCACAUUCAUCUCAUUCAGUGUGAAACUUGGACAUGCUUGAUAUUUCAGGAUUUUAACCCGUUCUACCGACAACAAAAUAAGUAGGAUUAUUGUAUAGUUUUUUUUACUUUUCAGUUUCUAUUUCUAUUUUUCUUUUAACAAUAAAUAUGCAUAUAUAUUUUAUAUUAUAUUUUUAUUUUUAAAGUGAUAUCAUGAACUCCAUUAUAAGUUGUAUUUUAAAUUUAAUGAUUGUAAGCAUAUAUUUAAUGGCAUUUAUAUCAACACUUUAAUUUUCCUAGUUUUGGGAUGAUUUUAAAAUAUAGGUUGACUCAUAUUAAUAAGUACAAAAGCCUUUACUUGUUAAGAAAAUAAUUUUUUUUUGUCUGGAUUGAUAUGUUGAAAGUAUUUCAUUAGUCGUUCCACACUCACUUACACAAUGAUGAACGUAUGUGUAAUUUAAGAGAUAUGUAAUAUUAUGAUUUUUUUAUUGUAUUUUUAGUUUGAAUUAGAACUUUUUUACUUCAGCUUUCAUUUCAGGUGACAUGAUAAAACUUAGUAUUUUUAAAUUAAUAAGAUACGUAUGUUCUAUAAAUUUAAGAUGGAAAGUUUGAUGAUAGUUUAAUAAUCAUUAAUAAUUAAUAUGUAUAGAAUGAUAUAAGUACACCUAUUUAUUUUAAGUUUAAAUAUAUGAGAACCUUAUUUUCAUGCUAUUUCUCAAACCAUAGUUGCAAAAAUGGAGUUUGAAGUACUUCUUAGUAACAUUUAUUUAACUUUAAUUUGGAGUCAAAAUUUUGGAGUCAAAAUACUAAAUAGUAAAAUAAUUUUAGAUCUAAUCAUCUCACCUUUAAUUGAUACUGAAAUGAUUUGAUACUCAAAAGUAGUUAAAAUAUGUGUUACUUGUAAUCACUUAAGCUUCUAAAACAGGUUAUGUAAAUAUAAUUCAAUACAUUGUAACUUUUAUUUACUAUCUUUGCAAACAAUAAAAGUAGCAAAAAAUGAGAAUACCAAAGUUUGAUAAUAAAGAUAACUUUUAUGUUUGAUAAAUUUAAUGAUUUUUUAAUAUUUAGAAGUGUAAAAUAAUUGGCAUAUAUUAUAAUAUAUUAAGAGGAAUGUUAAAUAGAUCUAAGUUUUGACUAAAUCAACCCACCCAUGAUAAAGAACAUGAUAAUCAUAAUGAAUGUGAUUGAUUUUCAUUGGUUGCAGAUCCAAUAUUGGAGAAAUGAAUCUAGAUUAUUUAUUUUUAUUUUUAUUUUUUCAUAAUGGUCAAGAUGGAUGGGUUAAUUUAGUAAAAUCAUGGAUUUAUUCAACAUUACUCUAAGUUAAUAUAAUUAGUAGUCAUAUAAAUUUGAAAAAUUUUCAAUUACAUAGUAGUUACUAUAAAUAUAAAAUUUAGAUACAAAUAAUACUUAAUAUUGCAUAUUCACAUACUAUAUAUACAUAAUCAUUUUUUAAAAUACAUGAUUUUUAAAAUAAUAAAGAGUGGUAAAAAAAAAAUUAUUUGCAUAUGUAAGAUUUUAGUUUCAUUAGGUAUUAAAAAAAAAAAAAAAAAAAAAAAAACCCUCAUUACAUAAGAGACAAGCUUGUAAAAAAAGGACACAACAUAUGUGUUUCUUGGUUAUCAUAAAAACAUCAAAGCAUGUGUAUUAAUUUUUUAAUGAAUAAAGUUUUUAUUAAGAAUUAAUUUUUAUUUUUAAUAAAAUAUUAGAAGACCAAUUAGAAUUUUAAAGUAUAUAUAUAUAUAUAUAUAUAUAUAGAUAUAUAUAUAUAAGAAUUAAUGUAAUAGUAGACAUAUCUUGAUUAUUUUAAAAAUAUAUUAAGGUGAUUGAGACCAAAGAAUAAUAAUAAUAACUUUUAUAAAGUUAAAGAAUUUAAUUUAUUUGUAUUUGUAUAAAAAUAAAUAAAUAAAAUUAAUCUAUAAUAAACUAAAAAAAACAUUAAUUUUGAAAGUUAACAAACUAAAAAAAUCAUUAUAUGAAAGAGUAUCAACUAUUUAGAAAGUAGUAUAAGAAGCAUCUCUUUUUAAUGAUUGGUGGAAAAAUUAUAUAUAUAUAUAUAUAUAUAUAUAUCUCUGUAGUAUUAAAAUUUUAAGGUUAUAUAACUAAAAUUACAAAUAAAUAAAAAAAUCACAAAGAAGAUUUUGAGUUGUUCAUAGAGAAUACAUUUUCAUAAUAAAACUUUAAAAUUAUAAAAAAUACUUAAGAAAUGAUUAAAAAAUAAAUAAAUAAAUUUUAUAGUAGAAAGCUAGUACAAAACACAUCAUUAUCACAAGUAAAUGCAAAUCUAUUGAAAUUAUAUUUAGAAAAUUUAAUAACAAAAAUAAUCUAUAUACAACUCUAUUUUUUAGAAUUGCAAAAUAUAAAGACAAAGAAUAUGGAGAUAAUUUGUAAUGUUAUAGAUGCCAUUUAACUAAGCAAACUAAUGAAAAAAAACACCAUACAUGUCUAAUAGAAGCACUAUUUAUUUUAUAUAUGUAAAAAAAAUACUUCAUAUUUAUGAAAAUUUCAAAUAUUAACUUUGCACAACACAAAUUGACAUAUAAUGUUAUAUUAAUUAUAACGCUCAUAAAAUAGUUUUUGCAACAUGAAUCAAGUGGAAAAGGGCUCAAUGCUCAAUUGCCAAACUAUCACCAGCAUCUUGUAGUAAGAAUACCAUACAAAGCUGCAUGCAUCCUGCAACAACACAAAUCACCAACCUGAACAACAAGAUGUAGUUGCUCAAAGCUUGAGCUUCUUUGAGACUGGCUUUAUGUUGAGAAAAUCCUCAUUCCUAAACUUUGCUAUCUUCCCAGCAUUUCCAUUGGAAAAUCUUGACUGUGUUGGUGCUUGUUGCAGUGAGGCUUUGUGCGGCAAACUGCCUUUGGAUUUCAGCUUGUGGGUCAAGACCUUCUGAGCUUCAUCCGCUUCGAGUAGCCCGUGUUCCAUCAACCUGCCACACCACAUUCCUACACUGAAUUUUAGCUCAAGAGAAAUCAAAAUGCAUUAAGAAAUCAACGACGAAGACGAUUGGAAACAGCAUGUUUCAAGCAUGUUAAGGGCAGUGUUUUCAUACCAGAUAUUAGCCAUGUCACUUGUGGGUAUCUGCCUGUGGAGCGAUUCAUAAAACAAUCUCAAUGCGUCUCUCUGGUAUUGCAACAACCAGUAGCAAAUCACGCCAUGAGACUGUUAGCAUACUACUCAGAAACCUUCCGAAGUUGGUCUCAAAUCAUGUGAAUAUACAAGUUCUGAAUUGAGAUUUUAACUGAAUCCUAUGUUCUACAAAACAUGAGACUCUUACCUCCUCCGGGGUUUCAAAUCUUUGACCCGGUAGAGAGAAUGCUUUCUUCAUGUGUUUCUCCUGCUUUUUUUUGAUGGCGGAUGUGGUAACCAACUUGACAGCCUUCGGAGCUUUUGCAGCAUGAAUUCUUACCUAUGUCACAGCAAGUGCACAACACCAUAAAGAAGCUUUUUUUAAUCUUCAUCUUGAUCCAAAAAAUCAGCUCUGACGUUGAAUUCUUAAGCCGCAUUUCUAGCCUAUCAAUUUGCAAAAUUUCAGACGAUUGGGCGGUACAAAGGUUUGAAGUGCUCAUAGCGUUUACCGGCUCUGCAAUCUUUGUGGCAGUCCUCAUUUGCACAUCUUUGCCACUUUCCGCAGGUCGCUUCCUGUUACUUGAGACCUUGUUUUUCUUUGUGUCUUCCAAUUGUGCUGGCCUCACCGCAGUCUUCCCUUCCGACCACACCUUGCCACUUGCACUAUCCUUCUUCACGGUCUUCUCGCUUUCAAAUCCCGUCAAAACUCUCGUUCCAUCACUGUGUCGUUCAACAGUCUUAGGCUUUAAUGGCUCUCUUGGUUUUUCAUUCCUCAUCUUUGUGUCUUCGAUACCUAAGACUUGAAUCUUUUGGAAGCCCUCGUUAUAUGUGCGCUUCUCUCUGGCAUCUUUGAUCUUGUGCUGCGUCUUUACGUCUUGGGUUCUCUUGAGACUAUCCCUUUCUACAUCGUGUUUCGAUUUAGGUCGCACUUUCUCACCGGUUGCUUGAGUUCUACCUACGUUCUCAGUUGAUGGGUUCCUGUCUGCACUGACCUUGGCUUUUAGAUGAGGAAUUGGCACCAGAGACUUUGAUUUUAUGUACUCUUUACUUGUCUUCGGUGGCUCCGUUCCUGUACUCUUCAUUUGAUCACAACUACGUUUCAACGCAACCCCAGUGCUAUCUGCGUAAUCUUUCCCGAGUCUCUCCAGCGGUGUUGCUGCAACUCUGCCGCUCUUCGAACCCCCUGCUAUGGUUCUGGGUGGAUCUUUACUACUCAUCGGGGUGGACCGUAUUCCUGGUUUCGAAGGCUUGUAAUCCAUCUCUCAGGCGCUUGAAAUCCUCCUUAGUUCAGCUAUAGCUUAUCCCCUCCAAGACCGGGAAGAUCGAGUCCUGCAGCAGUGCAGGUGCUUGUACAUGAAGAUGGGGGUACCUUUGAAACUAUGGCGCAUUGUAAAAAUAUAAAAAUGCUGGAACAAAAUAAAUCAACAUGAUUGAGAGGUUGUAGAAGUAUGAAAAUCUAACAUAGUACAGAAGUCUUUGUUGAAUAUAACAAUUACAUUCUUCACAAUGACCGACUAGAGUCUUAAACUCUUGGUGUCGAAGUUAAUAGAUGUUGUAGAAUUCAAUGUACGAGACCAGAUUGCAGCAGAUGUCUUUUCAAACUGGACUGCAACACAGGACCGGAACACUGGGAUUCGAGGAAUAUGUUCCUGCUGCAGCACCACGAACCGCCAUUGCAACAAAUUUAGAUUAGUGUACCUCCUGAGACUUGGAUACUACCGACCCGAGCUCCAUCUCACUUGUCCGAACCAAUGGGCACGAGAACUUAAAUUCCAAAGGAAUUUUAAUAAAUCUAGUUCUAAUUAUUCUCGAAUUUAUGAGUAGGCACACCAGCAACACACACUCCGCCCAGUUUCUGUCACUAAGUAAUUCUUUGAUUCCAAGGUUUCAGAGGCUUCCAAGCCAAAUUUCAGCAUCUAGCCCACCACUCACAAGUUUGUUUGCCGAAUUCUUGAGGGUUAACUUCCACUCUAAACCAAAAACCCACCAAAACAGAACACGCCCAAAAUCACGCACACCACGCCCCUGCAAACAAUUUCGGAGUAAUCACCACUGAAUACCGAUUUAUUCUCAUGCAGCUCUCGCUAGGAUGGAGUGACUUCAUGUGCGUACAUCACGAGCACAAAAUAUAAGAACAGAUUAGCAAUUGAAAUCGCUCCCUAACCCGAAAACAAUUGUAGACACGCGCCACGAAGCCACAGAAUCCACUCCUGCCCCACUAAGUUCUCGCGUUAAAGCCUCUGUUUCCUCUAGACAGAUUGUGUAGCGCUGAGUUCUCAUCAUCCUCAUACCUGUGCAAGCUUCUUCCACUGGUCCUGUCUAGAGCCGAAAGAAUUGACCGCCUGGGAAAGACUCCACGGUCCCCGCAUUUAGAAUUUAUGAUCUGCAGAACCAGAACCUGUGUCGUCUUCCUGCCAACAUCUGGAGCGGAAGAGGCAAAAGGCCCUGCUCUACAAGUUGCCGCGUGCUAGUAGGGCUGUUGUCGGUGAGUUAGGAUUUCCCAGCGCUGAUAACAGGUUGCUGACUCGUAAUGGCUGAAUCCGCAACGUGCUUGCGCGUCGUCCUGCUAAACUCCUCCAACAAAGAUGCCAAAAGAAGAAAAAAAGGUACUCUCUGACAACUUGAGUGUGUCCUGAACGUUCCUUGGAGCAACACCGACGAAAUGAAUCAGGUGAUACGGGGAGAGUCUUCGGACAAUCCCGGGUUGACUGAUUUGAAGAUGGACUACCCCAAGUCACGAGAAUUAUCGAUAUGGCACUGCACCUUUCGAUGCUUGUGCUGGAUGGACCAAGGCGGAUGAGAAACCGCGCUACUAUUUUCAUGCAUAUCUGUUCGCCGCGAGGCACCUGUUGGACUGUUUCAAGGUUUUGCGAAACCAUAUUAAUUACAAUUUUUUUCAUUAAAAACAGUUGCAAACAUUACGCAAAUCCACCAACGUCCAUGUGCUCUGAGUAUGAACUUCACGUACCUUCACCCUUUGUUCUUCUUCCAGCAGGAUUCCGUAACACUUAACGAACCAUUCACAAUAAUUAUAGGCACUUUUCACACAACUCCAAGGGUAAGGAAUCACACCAACGUUUUUUUGGUUCCCAUGUCUUUAUUCGAACCCACUCCGGCCCACGGUUUCCAAUGCGAACAGUUCCACUUCACUUCAACGGGAAUCACGCGAAAGGGAAACAAGCUCUCAACAUUCUAGCUAGCACGAGGGGGUUCAACGUUCUAGCUUCGACCUCUACAGCCCAACCCGCCGUCCGAGAGAGCUCAGCCGCGGUGGUCACCGAGCAUGGUCCCCACAUGGUGAGCAGUAAUGCAGAUCUAUCUAUCUAUCUAUCUAGAUUGCGAUGAGGAUGAUGCUGGCUACACUGGGUGCUCCUGCUGCUGCUGCUUAUUUCAGCGUCGUCGUCGUCUUCGUCUUCUUCACUGUGUUGUGUUGCCGUAGAUCAUCGUCUUCAUCUUGUUGUGUGUGUUUUUACGUUUGAAACAUUUGAGUGGUGGUUAAUUUUAGUGCUGGUAUCCUCAUGUAGUAAGGUUAGAGAUUUCAUAAUUGGAAUUUAUAUUGUAAACUUCUUUGCACCAACUUGUUAUUCUUUGGUAUUUUAACUUGGAUAGUUUAGUGGUGGACUAGCUAUGUUGUGUGUUUUUGGAACAUGGUUUGUCUAUGUUUUGGGUUUUGAAUGUGAUAUGCUUUUAAGAAGACAAGAAUUGAAGUAUUUGAGUAAUUGGGUCUUUGAAGUGUUUAGAGAUCUAGUUGUGAGGUUUGUUUGAAUAUUGUGGGUUCACAAGGAUGAACAUUGAGUUUGAUUGAAUUAUAUAUAAAUAUCAAAUAUUCAUUGUUUUUAUGUUAGCAUUUAACAAGCACGUUUUUAAAAUUUUAUAACUAAAAUUUGAACUAUUCAACUUAUUAUACCAACUUCUCAUUCUUAUGUAGUUUAAAAUAAUUAAAUAUAUAUUAAAAGUUGUUUUGUAUUAGAAUGUCACUUAUAAUAUACUUAAUAAAUUAAAAUAGACUAUUUGUAUAUGUGAAUAUAUAUAAUAAUAUUUACACAUUAAAUUUUAUUUAUUUUAUUUAUUUUUAUAUUUUAAAAUUAUAUAAAUAUAGAUAUGUCAUAAAAAUAUGUAACAUAAUGAAUUAAUUUUUUAAAAAAUCAUAUUGCUUUGAAAAUAUGUUUAAGUGUUUAAUGUUUUUGUAAGCAUAUCUAUCAAUGUUAUGCAAAAUAAAUACAAGAUGAUUUAUGAAUUUAAUAAUGUAAUAAUCUAAAAUAAAUUGAUGUGAUAUUUUAUGAAUUGGAUUUGGAAUGUCUUAUGAAAUACAAUAAAAUAUUUGAAAUGUGAUUUUAUUUAUUUAUUUAUUUAUUUUUAAGUUAUCCAAACAUAUCAUUACUAUCUUAUUCAGAUGAAGUUCAAAAACCACAUCUUUAGAGAUUAAGUUGCAAUGUAGUAUAGCAAUAAAACAACUUUGUUAUUGUCUUUAAUAAAUUGAUUGGAAUUCUAAUAAAAAAAAAUCUUAAAAUGGUUUUAAAAUAGAACAAAUUACUAAUGAGUGAAUAGAUGCUAUUCACAAAAGACAAAAAAGAUUUAUGAUUAAGUUGUCAAGAUGUUGGUUCAAAAAACUAAAAAUAAAAACACAUAAUUAAUAAAAUUUAUAAAAAUAAAAAUAAAAAUAAAAAACUUGUUUAAACUUUGCAAAACUAAAAACAUUUUAAAUCUAAAUAAAUCCAUAGUUAUUUUUAAUAUUCAUGUUUGAAAAUAAAUAUUUAAUUAAUUUUUUUUCAAGAGUAAAUCAAAGUAUCUCAAGAAAGCAUUCCAAACAAACAAUUGUGUCUAAAUACACACAAUCAUAUCCUCUGAAUUCAAUGUCAACAACAAAAGAUAACUUACUUUCAAAUAACUGUUUUCAAUAAAUUAUUCCUAGAAACAAUAAAUCGUAUAAAAAAUAAAAAUAAAAAUAAACUACAAAGAAAGAGUCAAAUUACGAGUCAAAUUAAAAAUUGUAAAAUUUUCAAUGGAAAAUCACGUCCAAAGAAACAAUGCCAUUAAUCAACCAGCUCAACACCCCCCCCCCCAAAUAGCUACACUUUUCCACAUCCUUUUACGUUUUGGAGAACUUUUGUUUUUUAUUAUUUUGACUUGUUCCUUUCCUUUUGGGCGACGCCAUUUGUGUGUGUACGAGAGUGUGUGUGUUUUUUUGAGGGGACCGGGCUGCAAUUGCAGAGGCAGCGACGGUGGAAGAAGCGUGUUGCCGAAUCCCAGUCUCGCAAAGCAGCGUUGCGUGUGUUUAGUCGGUACCGUGAUCUACAUGAGUGAGAGAGAGACUUCGAUUAUAGUAAUCGCAGCACUUUAGUGGGGCAAGGAUUGAUUGAUUGAUUCAAGCAGCAGGCGCAGGUGCCCAUCGGAUUGAUUUAUUGAUUCAUUCAGUAGAUUGCAGUGCACUCACACAAUUUCACCAUGUUUUCAAGGCUGUUCGGGAAGCCCAAGCAGGAGCCCUCUACCCUGUCCACACUCGACAAGCUUAAUGAGGUGCGGUUAUCGUGGAUUCGAUUCGGAUUGAGAACUGGGUUUGUGUUUUUUGAUUGGGUGUUGUGAUUAGAGUUCGAGUUGAUUUAGGAAUAAUUUGGAUGUGCACUAUGGGUUUGAUGGGUGGAGACAGACCUUGGAGAUGUUGGAGAAGAAGGAAAAGGUGUUGCAGAAGAAAAUAGCCAUGGAGAUAGAAAAGGCUAAGGAAUUCACCAGGUUGAAGAAUAAGAGAGGUGAGCGCUGCGGUUGGUGGCCGUUCUGUUUGUGGCAAGAGGGAUGUGAUGCAUUUAGGGCUGGCUCCCGCUAAAGAGUAGGAGGUUGGGAUGUUUAGGGUUGAUGAUGAGUGCUGGUGUGAGUGACUGUUUGAUCUGGCAGCUGCGAUUCAGUGUUUGAAACGGAAGAGAUUGUAUGAAGUCCAAGUAGAACAACUGGGCAACUUCCAAUUGCGUAUCCAUGACCAGGUCCGAGAGUUCACUCUUCCUGAUUACAUUACAUGAUUCAAGUCCAGGUUCGGUUGUUGAGAAUGGGAUGAACUCCUAGAAUUUUGCCGAUUUCCGCUCGUGUGCACUCGAUCAUUCCUGUGUCUUUUGACCUAAUCAAGCUUCUGGUCGAUUCGUGUGUACCUCUGGUUUCACCGUCACGUGUCGUGUUGUUCUUUUCUCCUACAGAUGAUUAUGCUGGAGGGUGCUAAGGCAACGACAGAAACCGUGGAUGCUCUGCGCAGCGGUGCUGCAGCCAUGAAAGCCAUCCAGAAAGCCACGUACUGUACCUGCCCUUUCCUCUUGACGAAUCUCUGGCUCAGUGUUUAUAUCGAUUCACUGUUCUACUACAGGAGAACAUGGAACGCACCGAUCUUUAUUUUUGUUGUGUUAGCGUGCUGAUUAUGUCUCAAAGGUUAUGGAAGCGUUUUGUAUUAGUAUUAAUUGCAGAAUCCGUUAUAAUGCACCAGCUUUGCUUCCUAGAGCUAGGGACAAUACAUUUAUUUAGUAGGAUAUGGACUAACGUGACGUUAGUCAUCAGAAGGUCAUGUGUGAGCUGUUAACUCUAAAAUAUGAUAAUAAUGUGGUUUGCAGCAAUAUUGAUGACGUAGACAAGACGAUGGACGAGAUCAACGAGCAGACUGAGAACAUGAAGCAGAUCCAAGAGGCACUCUCAACACCAAUUGGAACAGCAGCUGAUAUUGAUGAGGUGAAAUUUGAAAUCCGAAUAUUGUGUUCUUUUCUUUUAUCUUUUCGUACUUUGUGAUGAUAUAUUUGAAGGGACGACUCUCAGCAGAAUGAUAAGUAGAUGGGGGAAAUUACUUGUUCUUGAGAAUAUGUUUGGUGCUUGGUGCAAAUUGCCGGUAGUUUUAAAACCGUUCGGUUCACUAGAAUAAUCACCACAAUUUUUGGACUAUUUCAUAUGAAGGAUUUAAAGGGUUUUGUUGCAUAAGAUGUUGUGGAUAGGCAUUUGUAGACUACAUUAUCUGACAUGCGCGUCAACCCUCUCCUUUGUGGCAAAUGUAUUGCAGGACGAGCUGGAAGCUGAGCUUGAGGACCUCGAAGGGGCUGACUUGGAAGAACAGCUCAUUCAGCCGUCUACUCACCAGCUUCCCCAGGCUCAAACAUACAAGCCUACUUCAGUUCCUACAAAGAGUCCUCCUACGACAAACACUGAGGAAGAUGAACUUGCAGCCCUUCAAGCUGAAAUGGCACUUUAGAAACAUAUCACCCCUGCCCCCUCAUCGCAUUUUGGAGUGUUUUUUUGGUCUCCACAUAAGUUUUUGUUCAGGUUUGUGUCAGUAUUCCAACUUGAUAAGCAAGUGGGCUCUGUCUCUAGAACGCUUUGAUUGAAAGUGAAGAUCACAGUGGAAACUGAAUCGCUUUCCAAGUUCCAGGUGCUAACCGGAUGGCAUAACGUGCUCGAUAGACACACAGAAGCGUGCAUGUAACUCGGACGCUUCUUCGGUCAUUGGAAAUGGUGAGAUCACACUCAGAAGGUAAAUAAGGUGUGGGCAAAAGCAUGGAAAGAUGGGUUUGUAUCACGAAUUUGGCUUAUUUAACUGGUUCGCUUUCAUUUGCACCUUCGAAGAGCAGCAAUUGGGCUCUUGCCGACUGCUCUUGCUGUUCCUCCUAUCAGCCCGUGUAAAACUGUAUACUGAAACAUUCUUACUUUUUAUAGAUUUUUUUUUCAUUUAGCCACGUCGGCAUACAAUGUUACAGCGGGAUCCACCAACUUACUUCAAACUGUGAAUUGAGAUAGUUUUCAAUGUUCAUAAUAUACUUAAGUAUCCUUCAAGGAAUAUGGAUGUUAGUGAAAUUGAAGCUCAUCUAGACUUGCGCUGUUGCCGGUGGCAACUGUUAGACCUUUGGUACAACCUUUGUCAGUUGAUACAAUUAAAUGGUUGCAAAUUUAUUGAUCUCGGUUAUUUCGGUUCAGUUUGCAUUUGAUUUAUUUUGUUGUUUUAAAGAAUUUGGGGUAUGAAUUAGCACUUUGGGUGCUCCACUUGGUUGACCCAAAGGAGUCGGUCCCGUUGGUUACGAGGCAUCAAAAGAAUGUUCAAGUACUUCCAGCUUGCUUUUGUUUAUAAAUUAACAAAGGUGUAAUUUAUGCUUUUCGGUCAACUUUUAAAUAAUCUCCUGCAUUGUCGUUCAAGAACGGUAUAUUAUGUUAUUUGUAGUAGGAAAUUGAAUUAAUAUAUUUUCUUCUUCUGUGUACAAUAAAUGUAACAUAAUUCUGUCUUUUUAAAUCGAUUUUAUUUAUUUUAUUAAAAAAUGUGAAUAAAGUUAUACUUUACUGUAGUAUUUCUGUAUUUACCUCCUUUUUUCUUUUUCAAUUUCAUUGUUGCUAGUUUUUAGAAAAAUUGAUAACUAAUAUAUAUAUAUAUAAAGAUGGGCAAAAUGAAAAUAAAUAAAUGAAUAAAAAUAACGAUAAAAAGGACAUAGAGAUUGUACCAUCUUCAUAAAAGUAUAUAUGUAAAAAUAUUGCUUCUCAUAACGUGGACCUCAUACUUCAAAUAAUGAAUUAUUUAGUAAAGUACCUAAUAAAUUGCAAGUUAUAAAAAAUGUACUGAUUUGGAACAAUGAGAUUAUACAACCUUUUUGAAUGUAUUUUAUUUUUUAUACAAAUCAAUAAUAAAAAAAAAAAUAUCCAACAAUAUGAUAAAAGUUUAUAAUUUGAAGCCAAAAAGGGAUGCAAAUGUGUUUAAAUUAGUAUCUUAAAGACACUUAAAAUAAUAGUUGAAAGCUUUUUAAAGAAAAUAAUUCAUGACAUAUAUAUAUAUAUAUAUAUAUAUAUAAUUUUAAACAAUCUAUUGUCAUAGACAUAUACAUUUACUCUAAUAGUUACUUAUAUAAUUAGGUAGAAAUAGGUAAAUAUAGAUUAAUUUCAUAAAAUCUUUUAGAGAAACUUCUUAGAAGCUUUAUAGAUGUAGUUUUGACUUUAUGUAUUUGUAGGUUAUAAACUUGGCCAACAAAUUAACUAUGUGUUGGUAGCUUGUAGAAUAAGUUAAUUAUGAGGAGCAUAUAUAGAUAACUUGCCUUGUAAGUUAAGAUAUGUAUUUUGCAAAGUCAACAUGUUUUAGAGGAUCUAUAGGACAUUGCCACGUUGUCGUAAUAUGUGAAGUCUUGCUUGAGAAUGCUCCAAGCACCUGGCUGUGGAAGGUAGAAUGGAAAUUGCAACAACAAAAUCCUAACUAUAAUAGAAUACUAACUAAAAUCUAAUUAGAGCAUAAUAAUGCUAAGUAAGCUUCAAAAAAUUCUCAAAGAAAUUUCAAACAAAUAAUAAGAAUUCUUAAAGAAAUAUUAGAAUGAUCACAAAUAUUACUCAAAUACAUCUCAAUUCAAUCUUAAUUUAAUUCUAGUUAAAAUCCUAUUAAACUUCAUUCAAACUUUAGGCCAAAAAUAAUUAAAUAUUAAAUCCUAAUAAAAUCCUAAAUCCUAAAUCAAACCCUAAUCAAAUCCUAAUCAAAUUCUAACUAAAUCCUAAUCCAAACCCUAAUCCAAACCCUAAAUCCUAAACCUAAAUCAAAUCCUAACCCUAAACCAAAUCCAAAUCAAACCCUAAACCAAAUCCUAAACCCUAAAUCAAACCCUAAUCCUAAAUCAAAUCCUAACCAAACUUUAAAUCCUAAACCAAUCC
rnacentral:lncRNA from 1 species